AUUCUUCCCUGGUAGGGGAGAUCCCAUGAUCAUGAAAGUGGUUUUCCCAGGGCGAGGCUCACCCAUUACACUCCAGGCGUGCUGACCCCUGUGAUGUCCCCGAAUGUGGGAAUCUCGACUGCAUCAUUUGUGGUAGUAGGAGACUGCGUUCGCGCUCUCCCCUG